CCUACGGGUGGCAGCAGUGGGGGAUAUUGCACAAUGGGGGAAACCCUGAUGCAGCGACGCCGCGUGUGGGAAGACGGUCCUCUGGAUUGUAAACCACUGUCCCCAGGGACGAAGAUGACGGUACCUGGGGAGGAAGCUCCGGCUAACUACGUGCCAGCAGCCGCGGUAAUACGUAGGGAGCGAGCGUUGUCCGGAAUUACUGGGUGUAAGGGGAGCGUAGGCGGGACUGCAAGUUGGGUGUCAAAUCUACCGGCUCAACCGGUAGCCGCACUCAAAACUGCAGUUCUUGAGUGAAGUAGAGGCAGGCGGAAUUCCUAGUGUAGCGGGGAAAUGCGUAGAUAUUAGGAGGAACACCAGUGGCGAAGGCGGCCUGCUGGGCUUUUACUGACGCUGAGGCUCGAGAGUGUGGGGAGCAAACAGGAUUAGAUACCCCUGUAGU
rnacentral:rRNA from 1 species